GACAGAGGCCUCGAGCGUUAGGCGGAAUCACUGGGCUUAAAGCGUGUGUAGGCGGGCCCCUAAGUACCUUGUGAAAUCCCACGGCUCACCCGUGGAACCGCUGGGUAUACUGGGGGCCUUGGGCCACUCAGGGGCGACUGGAACAAGCGGUGGAGCGGUGAAAUGCGUAGAUAUCGCUUGGAACGCCGACGGUGAAAACAGGUCGCUGGGAGUGCGCCGACGCUGAGACACGAAAGCCAGGGGAGCAAACGGG
rnacentral:rRNA from 1 species